AAAAGAGGACUAAGCACUCUGAUGAUUCCAACCAGAGAGGAAACACAGACAUCACCAGGACUGAGAUUGACCUCUAUGAGAACUGCCCUCCACUCUCCACCCGCGCAGAAUCCACCUACCAGAGUCUGGAUCCAGCCUCCAGGGAUCCAGACUACUCUACUCUCUCUUGGAUACAACACCGAUGAUGAUGUCAGCAAGAGUGGGUGCGUGAUCACAGAAUGCUUGUAUCGACAGUUUUGUUGUCAUUACUUAGAAU